rnacentral:misc_RNA from 1 species
AAUGCAGAUACCAACAUCAAUGGUUCUGCCAGCACAAACAUUUGGUUGAAAGUAUAAUACACCUGGAACGGAGAGUUGUGCUCAGGAACUACAUUUUUCUUUUCCAGAACCAGCACUGUUCUCCCAACCACAUCAAGGUAUGAAUAUUUGGUCUCCAAGUGUUGCUCUACUGGAAAAGGAACCACAAUGGAAGGGUCUUUGGAUCCCUCUGGCAGCACAACUUUGAUGGUCAACUUGUCCACAACGAUCUCUGCAAGAGGACAGCCAAAGCUGAAGNNNNNUUGAGGUAACGCUUGCCAUCUGAAGACUCAAAAAGGAAAUCUUGCAAUGGUAGCCCAUACCCAAUAACAAAAGUAGCUUUCCAACCUCCAAAUAAAGGAUAUCGCGGUUCAAUUUCAAGUUCUGACUUUCGAUUAUCUGUACGUAAAUGAGAUGAUGAAAUGUUCCCUAUUUCAUCUCGAUAAUAGACAGAAUGCACCCUAGGUGGUAAUCUUGCCAGGAGGUGUUUGAAUGAAGAUACGCCACUAAAAGAUGGCCUAGAUUGAUAAUCAACCCUUGAAAACACGCCUUUGUGUCG